rnacentral:tRNA from 1 species
CGCCGCCGCUCCGUCGGGCGCCCCGGCGGCAAAGAGGCCGCGCAAGGAGGAUCGUCCUAUGGCC